CAACUUGGAGGGUUUCCUUAAAGAUAGGGGGUCUGAAGACUCGAGAAGGGGGAGAGUUGGUCGGGGUGGUUCCUGUGGCUCUGAGAAGGCUUGCUCUGAAGGAAGCUGAAGGUGGGGGCCUCUGAGACUGUUUCUCCAUUUUGGACACAUGAGUAAUAGGGACUGAUCUCUUUUCUUUGCCCCAGCUAUCUAAGGGCUUGGGCCUUUUGGCCCAGCCUAAACAGAAGGGGUAUUUAAGCCCUAUUCCCUUCUCUCCCUUUUUCUCUCUCUCUCUAUCUCUAAUUCCUUUCUUACUCCUAUUGUAAUUAAACUCCAAAAAAGGCUGACGGCUGACUUGAGUUUUUCAUUUAGGAAUUACAUAGCUGAUUCCUUGGCGACCUUAAAUUAAUAUAUAUCAGUCUUUUAAAGUGAUUCCCUUGUCACAGAAAGGAAGGAGGAAGAGCUCCCUUUGGGCUGCUGGGCAGAGGGAUCAGUGAUGGGAGAAAUGUCCUCAGGCGUGCAUGGAGAAGGGGAAGGCAGCACAUGCCAUAGGCUUGCCAAUGGAGGGCUAGGGAGUUAAAUGUCUUUGAAUAGGAAUGAUCCUUCCAACUCUAUAGUUCCAUGACGCUGGGAACAGGUGGUGCUCUGGAAAGCUGACAGAGGGUCAGUGAGGAUGGAAGCUGAAAGAUGGAACUUGGCAGAGUAUCCAGAGAUGACCUGGAGUGAAUGUUUAGGCAAACUCUCCAAGGCAAGAAGUGACCACCAGGAUUGAUAGAGGGAGUUUCUGCACCUGGAAGUUUUCUUUCUUAUUGAAAUCACAGUCUCCAUUCCUAUCUUCACUGCCUCUAAGAACCCUGAAUGAAGAGAAUUAAAUAAACAGACUAAAAAUCAACA
rnacentral:lncRNA from 1 species